AACGAACGCUGGCGGCAUGCCUAACACAUGCAAGUCGAACGAGACCUUCGGGUCUAGUGGCGCACGGGUGCGUACCGCGUGGGAACCUGCCCUUAGGUUCGGAAUAACUGCCCGAAGGGGGUGCUAAUACCGGAUAAUGUCUUCGGACCUAAGAUUUAUCGCCUUUUGAUGGGCCCGCGUCGGAUUAGCUAGUUGGUAGGGUAAAAGCCUACCAAGGCGACGAUCCAUAGCUGGUCGGAGAGGAUGAUCAGCCACACUGGGACUGGGACACGGCCCAGACGCCUACGGGAGGCAGCAGUGGUGAAUAAUGGACAGGGGGCGAAAGCCUGAUCCAGCAAGGCCGGGUGAGUGAUGAAGGCCUUAGGGUUGUAAUGCUCUUUUACCCGGGAUGAUAAUGACAGUACCGGUAGAAUAGGCCCCGGCUAACUCCGU
rnacentral:rRNA from 1 species